rnacentral:rRNA from 1 species
UACGUAGGUGGCAAGCGUUGUCCGGAUUUACUGGGCGUAAAGGGCUUGUAGGCGGUUCGUUAAGUCUGGUGUGAAAUCUCCCGGCUCAACCGGGAGGGGUCAUCGGAUACUGGCGAGCUAGAGGUGGGCAGAGGAAAGCAGAAUUCCCGGUGUAGCGGUGAAAUGCGUAGAUAUCGGGAGGAAUACCAGUGGCGAAGGCGGCUUUCUGGGCCUAUCCUGACGCUGAGGAGCGAAAGCGUGGGGAGCAAACCGG